CGACGACCUUCGGGAGCUUGCACAGGUGCUGCAUGGCUGUCGUCAGCUCGUGUCGUGAGAUGUUCGGUUAAGUCCGCUAACGAGCGCAACUCUCGCUGUGUGUUACAAGUGUCACACGGGUACUGCCGGUCUUAAGCCGGAGGAAGGUGGGGAUGACGUCAAGUCAGCAUGGCCUUUAUGUCCUGGGCUACACACACGCUACAAUGGCCAACACAAUAGGUUGCUAAGCCGCGAGGUGGAGCCAAUCCUCAAAGUUGGUCUCAGUUCAGAUUGCAGGCUGCAACCCGCCUGCAUGAAGAUGGAGUUGCUAGUAACCGCAGGUCAGCUAUACUGCGGUGAAUACCGGUUCCCGGGGCUU
rnacentral:rRNA from 1 species